AACGAACGCUGGCGGCAUGCCUAACACAUGCAAGUCGAACGAGAUCUUCGGGUCUAGUGGCGCACGGGUGCGUAACGCGUGGGAAUCUGCCCUUUGGUUCGGAAUAACAGUUGGAAACGACUGCUAAUACCGGAUGAUGACGAAAGUCCAAAGAUUUAUCGCCAGAGGAUGAGCCCGCGUAGGAUUAGCUAGUUGGUGUGGUAAAGGCGCACCAAGGCGACGAUCCUUAGCUGGUCUGAGAGGAUGAUCAGCCACACUGGGACUGGGACACGGCCCAGACUCCUACGGGAGGCAGCAGUGGGGAAUACUGGACAAUGGGCGAAAGUCUGAUCCAGCAAUGCCGCGUGAGUGAUGAAGGCCUUAGGGUUGUAAGCUCUUUUACCCGGGAUGAUAAUGACAGUACCGGGAGAAUAAGCUCCGGCUAACUCCGUGCCAGCCGCCGCGGUAA
rnacentral:rRNA from 1 species